rnacentral:misc_RNA from 1 species
UACGGGGGGAGCGAGCGUUGUUCGGAAUUACUGGGCGUAAAGGGCGUGUAGGCGGCACGGUAAGUGAGAUGUGAAAUCCCCCGGCUUACCCGGGGAACGGCAUCUCAUACUGCCGAGCUUGAGGACGGAAGAGGAUGGGGGAAUUCCUGGUGUAGCGGUGAAAUGCGUAGAUAUCAGGAGGAACACCGGUGGCGAAGGCGCCCAUCUGGUCCGUUUCUGACGCUGAGGCGCGAAAGCUAGGGGAGCAAACAGG